rnacentral:rRNA from 1 species
UAAAAAAGCUGGGAUAUAAACAUAAGACCAGAAGACCCUGUGAAGCUUAAACUAAACUAUUAAAUCUAAUAAUAAAUCCUUUCGGUUGGGGCGACCUUGGAAACAAAAAGAACUUCCAAAUAUAUGACCUAAUAUCAUACCACUACAGGCCUACAAGCCUAAAUAUAGAUCCAGCUUACCAUUGCUGAAUAAUGAACCAAGUUACUCCAGGGAUAACAGCGCUAUCUUCUUCAAGAGCCCAUAUCAAAAAGAAGGUUUACGACCUCGAUGUUGGAUCAGGACAUCCUAUUGGUGCAGCCGCUAUUAAGGGUUCGUUUGUUCAACGAUUAAUAGUCCUACGUGAUCU